rnacentral:rRNA from 1 species
UACGUAGGGGGCAAGCGUUGUUCGGAAUUACUGGGCGUAAAGCGUGCGCAGGCGGUUUUGUAAGACAGGCGUGAAAUCCCCGGGCUUAACCUGGGAACUGCGUUUGUGACUGCAAGGCUAGAGUACGGCAGAGGGGGGUGGAAUUCCACGUGUAGCAGUGAAAUGCGUAGAGAUGUGGAGGAACACCAAUGGCGAAGGCAGCCCCCUGGGUCGAUACUGACGCUCAUGCACGAAAGCGUGGGUAGCAAACAGG